AACGAACGCUGGCGGCAUGCCUAACACAUGCAAGUCGAACGCCUGUAGCAAUACAGGAGUGGCAGACGGGUGCAUAACACGUGGGAACCUACCCAUGGGUUCGGAAUAACAGCGGGAAACUGCGGAUAAUACUGGAUACGUCCUCUGGGAGAAUGAUUCAUCGCCAUUGGUGGGGCCCGCGUCGGAUUAGCCAGUUGGCGUGUUAACGGCUCACCAAUGCGACGAUCCGUAGCUGAUCUGAGGGUAUGAUCAGCCACACUGGAGCUGAGACACGGUCCAGACUCCUACGGGAGGCAGCAGUAGGGAAUAUUGGACAAAGGGGGCAACCCUGAUCCAGUAAUGCCGCGUGGGUGAUGAAGUCCUUCGGGUCGUAAAGCCCUUUUGGCAGUGACGAUGAUGACGGUACCUGCAGUAUAAGCCCCGGCUAACUUCGUGCCAGCCGCCGCCGUAA
rnacentral:rRNA from 1 species